UUGAGAUCUAUUUUUUUCCCCAUACUAAUAAAGGGGGUAAACACCAACUCCAUGGUUGAGUUUCCAUUGAAGCUGAUGGGGCAUCAGUAUUGCCGAUGAGAUGUGAAAAUAAAAAGUAGCAAGACUACAGUUGCCCAUGAUUCCUCUGUGAUAUAUUUGGUAUCUGCAUUUGGGUUUACAGUUAUUUUAUUUUAAAUUAUUCAAGAUGUUUUAAAAUUGAACUUCAGGGCCAGUGGUUGGAUGUGCUUGUUCCGAAUAUUUAUUUUCAACAGAACAACCACCCAAAAUAUAGUGGCUUAAAAAAAUGACCACAUUUAAUUUGCUGAUAUUACAGUUGUGCAGGGCACCGCAGGGACAACUCCGCAUCAUCUGGGAACAGGCUCAAAGACCAGGGACAGGAAUCCUCCACAGGCUCAAUCACUCACCAGCGUAGUGGUUGAUGCUAAUUGUUCGAUUUUUCUUUGGUCAUUCAGCCCUCUCAGCAUGGUGCAUGGAUCUGAAGGAGUGGAAAUUACAUUUUUGAAAAACCUAGGACCUUCCAAGUGAAUGACAGCUUGAAUAUAAUGAAUGUCUUUUCAUUUGAAAUAACCUGAGUGGAAAUGCUGUUAUUGUCAAUAUCUUGUAAAAGAGGCACCCAGGAGAGAGUCCUUGCCCUCGUGAAGCUUACAGUCUGCUGGUUUGAAUGAGUUGACACCUCCAUUUCCCUUUAAAGUCUCUAGAGAAGCACCCACUCUGUAAAUCAGGUGAUGUGGCAAUAACUGCUUUUGGAGGCAGGUGGUUCAGGUGAGUGAGUGAAACAGGCAGGACACCAAGCAGGAAGGAGCGGUUCAGGCUGUUCCACAGGGCAGUCCUGCCUCUUCAAAGGUAUAUACUUCCCAAAGGGUCACAGCAAGACUUACCCCUCCCUCCAAAAAAAAGCUCCCUCUCACCUCUGCUUUUAUGGAGUCCUGGUGAAGCACACCAGGUUCCCCCACCCAAAAGACCCUUGCCAUAAUUAAGCUUCUCCAAAGACCCUGCCCAUAAUUACACUUCUUGCCACCAAGAUUUUACAGAAUGUCAGCAGGGUUUCUGCAGAGGGCGCUGUGGUGUGCGGCUUCUUCUUUCUUGUAAAUGCCAGGUUUGCAGAAUCUGUCUCAGACAGCUUGUUGCUAUGCAAAAGAUACUAUCUUUGUUUUCUUGGUAAAAACUUGUAAAACCUCUGUCCAGCCUAAAAAUAACUGUAACUGUUAUGUACUCACCCACUGACAUGUAACCAGACCACUGAGUAUAAAGUUUAAAGCAUUUCCAGAUGCAAGGUCUAGAGAUUUUGAGGCAUCAGCCUCUCUGGACUGCUGCAGCUGAAAUAAACCUGCUGCCUGAAAAUUCCUCGGGUGAGCCUCAUCUGUCCUACAUCACUGGUUGGUCGGCAAAAAGAAAAAUUUCCCAAAGAACCGUACAGUACAAAUUAAGCUGGGAUAAGACAGGAAGCCCACUCCUGAGCUGCCCAGUCACCUUCCCACUCAGAUCAAUGCUAAGCCAGCUGAUCUUCAAGAUUCCUUCCAGACCCGAUGUUCUGUAGCUUUGCCAGACUACCUGGGGAAAAAAUGGUUACUAAAGAACCCCCAAACCAGAGAAGCAUUUCAAAUUGAAGACUGAGAUGUUCUGAGGUCCACACAGGACUGCCUUGAAGAAGAUAAUUUGGACUAGCCUUUGCUCCAGAGCCCUAGCCAGCACAUCCACCUCUUCAUCCCAAUUACAGCCACCAGUUCAACAUGUUUUAUAUGGUAAGGUUUUACUGGAGAUGACAUUGGAUGAAGAGUUUCUCUGUUUACAAAGCAAUGGAGUGGUGCACAUCUAUAAUCCAAGCUACG